GCAGUCGACGGCAGCACGGACUUCGGUCUGGUGGCGAGUGGCGAACGGGUGAGUAAUAUAUCGGAACGUGCCCAGUCGUGGGGGAUAACGUAGUGAAAAUUACGCUAAUACCGCAUACGAUCUAAGGAUGAAAGCGGGGGAUCGCAAGACCUCGCGCGAUUGGAGCGGCCGAUAUCAGAUUAGGUAGUUGGUGAGGUAAAGGCUCACCAAGCCAACGAUCUGUAGCUGGUCUGAGAGGACGACCAGCCACACUGGAACUGAGACACGGUCCAGACUCCUACGGGAGGCAGCAGUGGGGAAUUUUGGACAAUGGACGCAAGUCUGAUCCAGCCAUUCCGCGUGCAGGACGAAGGCCUUCGGGUUGUAAACUGCUUUUGUACAGAACGAAAAGGUCUCUAUUAAUACUAGGGGCUCAUGACGGUACUGUAAGAAUAAGCACCGGCUAACUACGUGCCAGCAGCCGCGGUAAUACGUAGGGUGCAAGCGUUAAUCGGAAUUACCGGGCGUAAAGCGUGCGCAGGCGGUUAUAUAAGACAGGUGUGAAAUCCCCGGGCUCAACCUGGGAACUGCAUUUGUGACUGUAUAGCUGGAGUGCGGCAGAGGGGGAUGGAAUUCCGCGUGUAGCAGUGAAAUGCGUAGAUAUGCGGAGGAACACCGAUGGCGAAGGCAAUCCCCUGGGCCUGCACUGACGCUCAUGCACGAAAGCG
rnacentral:rRNA from 1 species